GCGGGAGAUCUCGAACUUCGGUUCGAGAGGAGACCGGCGGAUGGGUGAGUAACGCGUAGGUAAUCUGCCUUCAGGACGGGGACAACCCACCGAAAGGUGAGCUAAUACCGGAUGAUGCAGCGGGGCCGCAUGGCCACAGUUGUUAAAUCCUUCGGGAGCCUGGAGAUGAACCUGCGUGCCAUUAGCUAGUUGGUAGGGUCAAAGCCUACCAAGGCGAUGAUGGCUAGGGGGUCUGAGAGGAUGAUCCCCCACACUGGGACUGAGACACGGCCCAGACUCCUACGGGAGGCAGCAGUGAGGAAUCUUGCGCAAUGGGGGCAACCCUGACGCAGCCAUGCCGCGUGCUGGAAGACGGCCCUAUGGGUUGUAAACAGCUUUUACUGGGGAAGAACCUGGACCUUUCGAGGACCACUGACGGUACCCAGUGAAUAAGCACCGGCUAACUCCGUGCCAGCAGCCGCGGUAAUACGGAGGGUGCAAGCGUUGUCCGGAAUCAUUGGGUGUAAAGGGUGUGCAGGCGGAAGUCUAAGUCGGAGGUGAAAUCUUGCCGCUUAACGGUAAAAGGGCCUUCGAAACUGGAUUUCUUGAGUUCGGAAGAGGUUGGUGGAAUUCGUGGUGUAGCGGUGAAAUGCAUAGAUAUCACGAAGAACACCGGUGGCGAAGGCGGCCAACUGGUCCGAUACUGACGCUGAGACACGAGAGCGUGGGGAGCGAAAGGGAUUAGAUACCCCUGUAGUCUUAGCUGUAAACGAUGGAUACU
rnacentral:rRNA from 1 species